UGCUGAAAGAUUGAUUAAACUUUUUUUGUUUGCAGCUGGCUCUAACGACACACCAAUAGAGUUUGUAUGGGAGCAGACAUUUGAUGUUAAAACAGGAGAGGGCAUGCCUGAUCUUUGAGAGUGUAAGACCAUGUGUAUCAGUGUUGUUUUAAACCGUCCCCGUUUUUUUCGAUUUAAAAUAAAUAAAUAAAAUCCCAAUUCAGAAGAAACGUAUCUUUAUUUGGGACGUUUUUUCUCCGUUCACUUGGACGCGUGCUACGUUUUGAUUGGAUGAAGAUUCAGAGGAUGGGUUCCAUCAAAGAAGAGCAAAGACCUCUCAUCGAAGAAGGUUUAAUUUCACAGGGGAUGUCGGCGCUUCAUUUCGGAAAUCGUCUGUCAAAGUCCCAGAAAACCCCACGCUUCUGUAUGAAACACAAGACAAGAACUCUGCUAUUGCUGGAAAUAGAAAAAUUGAGCAUACCAAUGAUAGCAAGUAUCUUGACAAAGCCGUUGUUAUCUCAGAAUAAGAGUCUAUCGAGUUUUGUAUUUGCUAAUGUUCUUGCCUUUAGUUUACACUUACGUCUCUGUGUGUCAUGAUCUUCUCAAUUUGGCAACCAAAUAUGUUGUUUUUCCUUGACGUACUUGUUUGCACCCAGUCAGGCUUCAGUCUGUAACCUGUUGGAAUCCUGCGACCAAACUGGCUAGAUGGAGCCAAGUAUCUAGGCCAAAAAAAUGUGAGCGGGUUUCUCUGCAAUGUAUGGGAGAAAGUAGACUUUAUAUGGUACUAUGAGGAUGUUGCAACCAAGAGACCUGUGCAAUGGAUCUUCUAUACAGGUAUUGGACCUAACGGUUCUGUUUAACCAACUAUGGCAUAUACGAAGUAUCUUCGUUAUCCUUGCCAACUAAAGAUCUCCGUACUUUAUGCUUAAGUUGUGGUAACUAGUUAGAUACGAUGCUAGAUAUCAGGCCUUCGUUAAGCUUUCUCUCUAUAUAUGUAAUCACGAAACCUCUUUAUGAAUAUACAGAAAUCCUUCGACA